rnacentral:rRNA from 1 species
UACGGAGGGAGCUAGCGUUGUUCGGAAUUACUGGGCGUAAAGCGCACGUAGGCGGCUGUUCAAGUCAGAGGUGAAAGCCCGGAGCUCAACUCCGGAACUGCCUUUGAAACUAGACAGCUUGAAUCCAGGAGAGGUGAGUGGAAUUCCGAGUGUAGAGGUGAAAUUCGUAGAUAUUCGCAAGAACACCAGUGGCGAAGGCGGCUCACUGGCCCGUUACUGACGCUGAGGCACGAAAGCGUGGGGAGCAAACAGG